GCCUUGGUGGUGUAGUGGUAGCCCGAGUUCCAGCUAUGGAUGAAACGCGUGUUCGACUCUCGUCUGAGGUC